GGGGAUAUAGCUCAGUUGUAGAGCAGUUGCCUUACACGUGUGAGUUACUGAGUUUAACCUUCAGUAACCUCA
rnacentral:tRNA from 1 species